UCGCUCGGGUUUCUCUUCAUCUCGUACAAAUCUUUCACCUUUUACUAAAGAUUUCUGUGGAGGGGUAUUUUGGUGGCAGCUGUGCCCUACUGGUUAGUGCCUUGGACUUGUAACCGGAGG